rnacentral:rRNA from 1 species
GCCUAACGGCUGAACCAGCAACUUGCAGGAAUGAGAGUUAAUAUAAUAAGUUAUUAACUUGCUUGACUAGGUCUUAUAAAGUUCUGGAUAAAGCUUAUUAUGAAAACUUUAUAUCCAUAGGUCUCGACCAAAUCUUGUGCCAGCAGUCGCGGUAAGACAAGGGAGACGAGUGUUAUUCAUCUUUAACAGGUAUAUAGGGUACCUAGACGGUGUGCAAUGGCUUACAUAAGUACCUGGUACACUUGAGUUUGAUAUGUGAGAGGAAUAUGUCGGAAUUGUUGGAGGAAAGAUGAAAUUUUUUGAUACCAAUAGGACCGGUAACGGCGAAGGCAAACCUCUAUGUACAUGUACUUGCUAUUUCUUCUAGUAUAAAGAGGAAAAGAGCAAUGUACUAUAACUGACGUUGAGGGACGAAGGCUCAGAUAGUGAAGAGGAUUAGAUACCCCCGUAACCUGGGCAGACAAUGAUGAGUGCCAUAGGUUGGCUUUAAGGCGGAACUAUAAAUGAAAGUGGAAGCACUCCACCUCAAGAGUAAUGUGGCAACGCAGGAACUGAAAUCAUUAGACCGUUUCUGAAACCAGUAGUGAAGU